rnacentral:snoRNA from 1 species
UCUCAGUGAUAUAAUCCCAGGAGCUCCUUCUGACCCUCCGUGCUGGACUGAGUAGCAGGGAAGUGGAGAGUCCAGUGGCUGAGAGA